rnacentral:tRNA from 1 species
CUAAGGAAGCUGUGGAACUGGUAAGACGACCUUCCGACAAGUCUUUGACUUGUCUCGAGGUAUGAACCUUCCCGUGCUUUUUAGAACAUAGAUGGCACCAGUCAGGUGACCAUCGAAACGUAAUACGCCGCGAUGACUUCGGUCACGACGGUAUGGCGAGCUUUCGCCGUCCACGUUUCUCUUUCUUCAAGAAGACAAAAAACCGCGUCGACCGGUUCCCCGAAUGGGCCCGUAGCUCAGUUGGUUAGAGCACACGCUUGAUAAGCGUGGGGUCGGAAGUUCAAGUCUUCCCGGGCCCACCAUUUGCAUAUGCGAAUGAGGGUUAGGGAUGAUGGAAUGUGGCUGAUGCGGAUUGUUGCCGAACCUGGGCUUGUCCUGGGUGGUCGAGCUGGAGGGGCUGUAGCUCAGCUGGGAGAGCACCUGCUUUGCAAGCAGGGGGUCAGCGGUUCGAUCCCGCUCAGCUCCACCAAAUCGAUUGGUGUUGAAGCUGACGGCGUUUGUCUUUUGAAGAAAUAAAAGUUUUGCAUCGGCUUAUGGCUGAUGCUUGUUCUGCAUACAUUGUGAAGAGAAGAUUGAUCUGGAGGCUUCCAGGUGUUUUGGGUUUUGCCCAAGGCGUCCGAGCCCAGUUCUGAUGAUCCCAUGGAUGGCCUAGCCGGCCGGAUAUGGGUGAAGGACUGGAGGUAGGUAGGAAGCUUGUCACUCUGGAUCGUUCGUUGUUCGUUGCCUUUGGGCAUCGUCUGAUGAACGAUCGGAUUACCGUUGCCUGACCGCGCGGUAUCGGAUCAUAUCUCGAGAAGCUGGUCUUAAGACAGGCUGCAAGUGAGCUGCUCGGCGUAGCUCCAAUAAAGCAGACCUGUCGAACACGUUAAUGGCAUUGUUGGAUUGACUGGGUUGUAAAAGGUAACCCGGUCUGUUGCCGUUCCUUUGGAACGGGCAACGAGACGAUGAGCAUUGACAAUGAGAACG